rnacentral:rRNA from 1 species
ACAUACGACCAUACCCAUUGGAAAACUCGGGAUCCCGUCCGCUCUCCCAUAGAUAAGCCAAUGAGGGCAGUCUUAUCUAUGGGAGACUGUGUUCUGCU